CUCCGCGAGCUCCCGAAACCGCCGUCACGGCCAUCACGUGGUGCCGCCUCCACGAGUUCCCCAGAGUCCAGAUAGUAACCAUCGGAGCUCUGCCACGUCAUUCUCUUCAUCCCCACCAAAGGGAUCGAAGGGGGGCACCCGGAAUCAUUGAUAUCGACCUCGUCUUCCGCAACUCCGGCCUCCACGAUUCUUCGAUAGAGUCGUCGUCUCUGGCCAUCUCUGCCCCGUACGAUCUCUCCUAUCAUCUCCAAGAGGAAUUUGCCCUGCCCGAAGAUGGUUUCUACAUUGACAUGGACGAAUAGAUUGGGGUUCCCAGAUGGUUUCUACAUUGACAUGGACGAAUAGAUUGGGCUUCCCAGACAAUAGCCUAGGGCUGCAGAAUGGGAUGUUACCAUUCGUGCUGGCCUCUUAGGACUUUGUUAAAUUUGCCAUGUCUAAUAGCCUAAUUUUUUCUCGCUGCCAUGUAAUGUGAUGUUGGGUCAUGUGACCUAUGUGUGUAAUAAACUGCUAUUUUUACUCUGUUAAGAGUUUAUAUGAUUAUUGCUUUCAGUCA